rnacentral:rRNA from 1 species
GAAGUAAAAGUCGUAACAAGGUCUCCGUUGGUGAACCAGCGGAGGGAUCAUUACUGAGUUUACGCUCUACAACCCUUUGUGAACAUACCUACAACUGUUGCUUCGGCGGGUAGGGUCCCCGUGACCCUCCCGGCCUCCCGCCCCCCCGGGCGGGUCGGCGCCCGCCGGAGGAUAACCAAACUCUGAUUUAACGACGUUUCUUCUGAGUGGUACAAGCAAAUAAUCAAAACUUUUAACAACGGAUCUCUUGGUUCUGGCAUCGAUGAAGAACGCAGCGAAAUGCGAUAAGUAAUGUGAAUUGCAGAAUUCAGUGAAUCAUCGAAUCUUUGAACGCACAUUGCGCCCGCCAGCAUUCUGGCGGGCAUGCCUGUUCGAGCGUCAUUUCAACCCUCAAGCUCUGCUUGGUGUUGGGGCCCUACAGCUGAUGUAGGCCCUCAAAGGUAGUGGCGGACCCUCCCGGAGCCUCCUUUGCGUAGUAACUUUACGUCUCGCACUGGGAUCCGGAGGGACUCUUGCCGUAAAACCCCCCAAUUUUCCAAAGGUUGACCUCGGAUCAGGUAGGAAUACCCGCUGAACUUAA